CAUCCAUCCUCCCUCCACUGUAGGGACUAGACACACCUCUGUCCCCUCUGCCCUCCAUCCUCCCUCCACUGUAGGGACUAGACACACCUCUGUCCCCUCUGCCCUCCAUCCUCCCUCCACCGUAGGGACUAGACACACCUCUGUCCCCUCUGCCCUCCAUCCUCCCUCCACUGUAGGGACUAGACACACCUCUGUCCCCUCUGCCCUCCAUCCUCCCUCCACCGUAGGGACUAGACACACCUCUGUCCCCUCUGCCCUCCAUCCUCCCUCCACUGUAGGGACUAGACACACCUCUGUCCCCUCUGCCCUCCAUCCUCCCUCCACCGUAGGGACUAGACACACCUCUGUUCCCUCUGCCCUCCAUCCCCCUCCCUCCACUGUAGGGACUAGACACACCUCUGUCCCCUCUGCCCUCCAUCCUCCCCUCCAGGGACUAGACACACCUCUGUCCCCUCUGCCCUCCAUCCUCCCUCCACCGUAGGGACUAGACACACCUCUGUCCCCUCUGCCCUCCAUCCUCCCUCCACCGUAGGGACUAGACACACCUCUGUCCCCUCUGCCCUCCAUCCUCCCUCCACCAUAGGGACUAGACACCUCUGUCCCCCUCCCCCCUACACAGGGCAGCUGUACUGAAGCCACACUGGACUGAACAGAACUGAACUCAGCCAAAGCCCAGAGUUUGUUGGCAGAAGUUUUUCUCUUGAAACCUGGUCAGCUUUAGAUUAAUCAUCACUACUAACAUUGAUAACAGGGUCAUAUGGAGGUUAGGGGUCAUAUGGAGGUUAGGGGUCAUAUGGAGGUUAGGGGUCAUAUGGAGGUUAGGGGUCAUAUGGAGGUUAGGGGUCAUAUGGAGGUUAGGGGUCAUAUGGAGGUUUGGGGUCAUAUGGAGGUUAGCGGUCAUAUGGGAGGCUCCCAUGCAGGGUAGCCAGGGUUAUUAUGGAUGAGCGUAUAGUACAGGGCUGCGCUGCGGGGUUUUGCACCCACCCAGCACUAAAACACCUGCUGUGCUGAUUCACCUAAUUCAUGAAGAAUAGUUUUAUUUGUUGUUUUGUUAGUGGUGGGCUGGAACAAAACCCUGCACACAUACAGCACACUGAUGGCCCUGUGUAAGACGUGAUGUUAUCACCAACCACCAGUGGAUGCUAGACAGAACAGUGUGACAGUUAAACAGUAAGGUGGUGUCGCCUCCAGAGGUCAGCUCCAUUUAGAUUCCAGCCAGUUCAGAAACUGAAGCGUGUUCCAAAUCCACAUUAUCCUCAUUGAAAAGCAUUGAGGAGAAUUGGAAUUUCGCUAUACUUCCUGAAUUGACAGGAAUUCAAAUUCAACUGACCCCAACCCCGAUACCCUCAUAUUCUGUUUUUACUUACUUUUUAUAUUGUUUUAUUACCAGCUGAUGGGGAGGAGCUAAUUAUGACCUAAUUUAUGUUACAUGUAUUAAUCUUAUAAAAAAUAAUCUCAGUCAGGAAGUAUAUCUUGAAUCAUCCUCCCCCAGUUUCUGCUCAUGCUAAAGCACACUGUUUUUAGUUUAGGGAUAGUGUGUCAAGCGUCUGAGUAUGAGAGCUGAUCCAGGAUCAGGUCCCAACCUGUCCACACAAUCUUAUUAAUUGUCUUCUAAAAGGCAAAACUGAUCCUAGAUCAGCACUUCUACCCUGAGACGAAUGAGACAUUGGAGCCCAGCUAUCUUAACGGCUUAAUAAUGAUGAGCGAGGACCGACACACCAAAUAACAUUAUGAUGAAGUCUCAGUUGCUCCCUAACGUUGUAAAAAUGUUUUUGUAAAAACAAUGUAUUUUCUUUUCCUAUUGUAUUGUUCAGUGAACAGGGUUUGUCACUGUUUUUCUCUUAUUGGUCGUUUAAUAAAUCAUUUUUAAACUCUU
ensembl:lncRNA